ACAAACGGUUUGCACAAAAUCUACUAAAAUGAAACAAAAUAUAUUGCAUUGGCCUAUACAUGCAGUAUUGCGUUUAUUCUCUAAUGCAGUGGAUUUUAGUUUAGCAGUGAUGGUACCUAUUGUUCAAUAAACUGUGUGGUCAGCUUGUUUAAUGUAGUGCUUGUGCACACUUAUUUGUUAGAUGUAUAGUUGGAGUGCGGAAAAGUCCACCCUCCGUUUUUAAGUAUGAACUGAAGCGAUCUUGUAAAGUGACCGUUACAGUAUACAAUAUUAUAAAAUAUUAUCACGUCAUCAGGUCGGUCGAGCAGAUGCUUAUUAAUGCAGGGGUGACAACUUUCAUUCGUUUGGCACUUGGCAAAUAAUAAUCCAAAUACUUAUCAUGUAAUGUUUUAUAAUAUCAUGUCUACAAACCAAACCCACGUAUUAUGCCUUUCAUGACGUCUUACGUUCGAAUAGCUCAUAACAUCUCUGAGGUAAAUUAUUCCCCGAGGCUAAUGUUAGUAACGCUUGUUCAGUUUACGAUCUCAACGUUACCGAGCAUAUCUUCUGAAUAUCUUUUUUGCGAAACACAAUCGACGAUAAACGACAUUCAACUAAAACAUCUGUGGCCUUCACGAGCAUCCAGUUAGCGUCGAUCGUCGUGUCUCAAGAGACCAUCGUGCCUCAGGUCAACAUGAACUGCAGCCUGCAAGAAGAUCAACCACAGAAGACUGCCUUCUUCAGGAGAAAAUGGCGGGCAGUUAAAAGAAUAUUGACUGGGAGUAACAGAGGGAGUUACCGGUUUGACCAUCCUCCAUCCAGUUUCGAGCCUGACCCAUUCUGCCCUAGACUUGUGUCAUUCAGGAAACUGGAUGAUCCACAGCCUGGUCCAACGACUAAAUCCCAUCUGGCUGAAAUGGACCCAGCCAAAAAUAAGCCAGUCGUGCACGAGCGAGCCAACCCUCAGCCUCCACCCGUCACAGCAGACACCGGGAUUGCUGGGAAGCCGUUCCGAGCCACGCAGGUCUGGAAUAGCGUCGUCGACAACCUUCAGACGCAGGUGGAGGUGAAAAAGAGACAACAAUCUGAAAAUCUAUCAGGAUUGUUUUUCGGGCUCGGAAGCUGUGGACGUGGUUCUGGCACAUAUUAUUCAGAGCAAGGUCUGCAAAGAUGCAGAGGUGCCUCGAUCCAAAGCCGUUCGACUCUGCCAGCACCUCAAUGAUGCCAAUGUCUUUGAGGAGGUGGACACCAACGAUUUUGGAAGAAUAAGAAUCAAGCGAAAUUUAAGGACAGCAGCUAUAGUCAGUAUAGGUUUCACCCGACCACGGGCACAUUAAGCACACCAUGGAUUAGGCACAUCAUCCCCAGAGACCAUCGAGAGAAGUUUUAACUCGCGUCAAAGGAACAACAACCAAAGACACCGGGAUUGAUGGGAAGCUCUUCCGAGCCACGCAGAUCUGGAAUAGCGUAGUCGACAACCUUCUGACGCAGGUUAAGGUGAAGUGAUUAUUGUAAAUGAAAUGAUCACAUACAACAGUUUUGAUAUACUAGGCCUUAUGUUGUGUUCAGACCAAACGCGAAUGGCGUGUUAAGCGCGAGUGAUUUACAAGUCAAUGCAAAGACACGAUAGACCUACUUGCGGCGCGAAUGAGGCGGUGCGAAUGAAGUGAAUUGCGCGAAUGAUGCGAAUCGCACGAUUCGAGUUAAAAAAUUUGAACUUUGGUGAAACCAAUCAGGUCGGACAAUCUGGCAAGUUGUAAAAAACAAUCUUUACAAUAUCUGAGCAAUAUAUGUAUAUACGAGAAUAGAGCCGCCAAUUUGCGUCUGAAGUGAAGUGAUUUUGACGCGCGAAUAAAGCGAAUUUGACGUGCGAAUGAAGCGAGUAAACUCAAAAUGUUCCAGCGUCUAACUGCGCGCGAAUAGCGUGAUUGAUUUGCGCAAGUCGCGUUUGGUCUGAUCACACAGUUGUUGAAACCUGGCUUAAGCCAAAUGAUUAUUUCGGUCUAAAUGAGUCUACUCCACCAAGCUACGGUUAAAUGCAUGAGCCAGGUCCGGUUGGUCGAGGUGGUGGUGUCGCAACAAUCUUUAGAGACCUUCUUACCGUAAUUCAAUGAACAAAGCAUACAUUUAAAUCAUUUGAAGUGCUUGUGUUGAACAUAAUUGUUCCAAACAAAUGUAAAAAAUCAUUGCUCUCUCUUACAUUGGCUACUAUGUAUAGACUCCCAGGGCCAUACCCUAAUUUUCUGAUAGAGUUCGCAAACUUCUUAUCGGACCUAUUGGUUAACGUCGAUAAAGUAUUGAUUGUCGGAGAUUUUAAUAUCCACAUAGAUAGUGCUAACGAUACAUUAGCAGUGGCGUUUAAAGAGCUACUACACUCUUUUUGUGUAACAAUACAUCAAUAGACCUAUUCAUCGAUUUAAUCAUACACUAGAAUUUAUUAUAUCUCACGGAGCCGAUCUAACCAAAAUCGAUAUUAUACCUCAAAGCGACGAUGUUACCGAUCACCAUCCUAUAAUAUGUACACAGUGUACUGCAGAAAUCAGUCGUAUAGCUGGUUAUCGACAGUGUAGAAAGAUCACCUCAACUACUAAAGAUAGUUUCGUAAAGAACUUGCCAGAUCUGACUCCUUUAAUAACCUUGCCAACAAAUACAGAAUUGCUCAAUGACAUGACCAGCAACAUGGGCACUAUUUUCUCUUAUACAUUAGAAGCGGUCGCACCUAUGAAGUCAAAAAAGAUUAAUGAAAAGAUCAUAGCACCAUGGUUUAAUAGCACCACUCGCGCCCUAAAAAGAGAAACACGUAAACUGGAGCACAAAAUGGAAACAAACCCAAUUAGAGGUCUUUAAAAUUGCAUGAAAAGAGAGCAAAAACCAACUUCCAACUGUUACAAAAAGGAACUAAAAGCAGCAAAAGCCGAGCACUUCCGUAACCUCAUAGAAACUAACAAAAACAAUCCAAGGUUUUUAUUUGGUACAAUUGCUAAACUAACAAACAAACCGACUUCACCUGACCUGGCUAUUCCGCCGCACCUUGAUAGCAAUGAAUUCAUGACAUUUUUUACAGAGAAAUUCUAAAUAUGCGAGACAACAAACCUCCAAGUGUGACUGAAGAAUAAGUAAUCAAACAUCACCCCAAAAGAAAAGCUACAGUGUUUUUCUCCUAUAAAACAGGAAGAUUUAAUUAAACUUAUUGCAAACCGACAGCAUGCUUAUUAGACCCCAUUCCAACGACAUUAUUAAAAGAGUUACUGUUGCAAUUGAGCCCAUUAACAACACUAUCAACUCGUCAAUUAAUCUAAGCCAUGUCCCAGGACCCUUUAAACUGGCUGUAAUUAAGCCUCUUUUAAAAAAAAAAACUUAUACCCCAAUGAACUUGGAAGCUAUAGACCGAUUUGAAAUCUCCCGUACUUGUCUAAAAAUAAAGUAGUGUCCACUCAGUUGUGUACUUUCCUUCAAAAUAAUGACAUACACAAAAAGUUUCAGUCUGGCUUUAGACCGCAUCAUAGCACUGAAACUGCGCUAUUUAGAAUUACAAAUGACCUUCUUAUUGCAUCAGAUAAAGGUAACAUUUCACUCUUAGUCCUGCUUGACCUUAGUGCUGCUUUCGAUACUGUAGACUAGAGGUGCGCGGAUGAGCUAAAAUGUCACCCGCAACCGCUGCUUCAAAUAAAUGAUCUACCCGCCACCCGCCCGCACGUAUAAUUUUCUCUGAUAUAAAUAUCCGCACCCGAUCGUCACUUUAAUUACUCUGCCAAUCUCUGAUGGUACAAUAAUACACUGAUCGUAAAAUGCUUUUAAAGGAACAUUUAUUUAUUAAACAAAAGUUUGUCUUCGGCCAGAUUAGCCUACAUUUUCUUAGUAAAAUAAACACAGGCGUACAUAAUCCCUUCAGACUUUUAAUAUCGCCGAUUCUGUCACUGCCACACAUACACAAAUGAAUGACUGGAUAACUGUACAUUUUCUAGCACUGUCUAUGUCUGCAAAUGCUUAAAUCUAAUCCUUCGAUUUAGCACACACAUGAUGUACCAUAUUCAAGGUCUUGUGGCUUUCAUAUACACACACAAUGCCUCACCGUCGUUGCUCACACACAUACUUUUCUUUCUUUUGUCCUUCGUUUUGUUUCGUUUUUAAUUCUUUAGAAUUCUUAUUCUUUUAAUUUGUUUUAACAUCUUUUAAGCCAAGCUUUCACUUAAUGCAUAGUUAACGAACAGCAGCUACGCUAAUUAUUCUCUUUCUGCCCCCUCCUCGGGAUGCCCAUCCCGAGAUAGGGAGAAAUUCCACCAGGUCCAGAGGAUCGACAGAUGCCCAUCCACAACUAGAGAUUACACCAGCUACAGCUGCAGCUGCUUUGGAUCAAUGCACAUUGUGAAAAGCACUAUAUAAACUAUAAAAUCUUGAAUUGACUUGAAGAGGAGACGACACAAUCUGAAAAAAAUGCUAGUUUUUUGGGCUCGUAAGCUGUGAAUCGGGUUCUGGCUCAUAUCGUUCAGAGCAAGGUCUCCAAAGAUGCAGAGGUGCCUCGAUUCAAACCCGUCUGACUCUGCCAGGCCCACAUGGAAGCCAAGAUCUUCGAGGAGUUUCAAUUGAUUCCCUUUAUGAAAGAUGUGCAAAGGAGAUUUUGUGGCGACUUCAUCAGAGUUGUACCCAGGGAGCCAGAGAGAAGAUAUAUUCAAUGUGCGGAUGAGCCAUGGAGCUUGCUCACUUGAAGAGCAUCAGAUAAGAUGCCGAAUUAAUUACAGUCUGGUCACACUGCAAACUGUCGUAUUAAACAAUACACAGACGUGAGGCCUUAGACCAAAAAGGUCUAAGUGACUGAAGAACCAACCUUUGACACCAGAGAUGUGCAGCCAGAGAAGAGCAAACAGUAUGAGAAUUCUGGAAGCAGUGGACCCACACUGGGAUUGAGAAAAAACGUUCUAUGUGUAGUGGGACAUGAAUUUCACACUUUAAUGUAGAUGCAGCUACAGUUCACUCAUUUACAGUAGUUGCAACUUCAAUUCACUGCCAAAUGAACUCCUGAUAAAUGCAGGUAAUGAGAAUUGCAUUUACAGAAAUUCUAUGUAGUGUCCACUGAACCCAAUUUAACUGUCUUUAAUUGUUGAUGAUGUCAUCACAGAAAGUUGCUGUAGUUAGACUGUGUCAUAACAAAUGCAGAGUGACUCCGGUUUCCGUACACAUGAGGAGCGAUUAUUAUUUAAGGCAGUGGUUCUCAAACUUUUCAGAUCAAGAACCACCUUUAAAAAAAUCAGUUGUUCCAAGUUCCACCUAAUGACCGCCAUAGAAAAUCAUAUGAAAAGACAUUCAAAUUAAUAGUAGAGCUGUGAAUCUUUAUAUUUACGCCCCGUCCUCCAAUUCUAACUUAUUAUUAAUAAUACAAAUACUUUUUGAAAAUGAAAUACAGUAUGUGUUUAUCAGCGAUCUGUGUCUAACUGUUUCAGUUUGUUUGCCAUUAUGAAUUGUUGUAAAGCAGGUUUAUACAAAACGUAUCUGUGAGAACAGUUAUGAUAAACGUCAUACCUCAAUGCCAUACUCUUCCUGACUUGACACAUUUGUACAUCCUAUCCAAAACACUGCGGUAAUCAGAGAAUGACUGGACCAGUCAAUGGCACACAAUCGUUCCUUUUAUUCUUGACUUUCAACCUGAUCGUAUACUCGCAAUGUUCUUAUUAAAAACUCCCAUUUAUUUCUUAAGUACUAUCUGUCUGAACAACUGGUGAAACUUGUAAGCCGCUUUGAAUUGAAACUCUCUCCCUGACUUUAGAUGUUUGACCAAACACCAAUCGAAAUCGUCUUUGUGGAAGGACAUUAAAGCUUUUCAGCCAUCUUUAAAACUUCAAAAUCAGCAAAAAAGCCAGCAGGUCACAUUCCACAUCUCUAUAAGACUGCUUCAAAAUAACAACAUACAUAAACAUGUAAUAAAAUGAAUAUACAAUAAAAUUCUACAAGUUGUUUAUUUAAUACCAGUAUACAAUACAAUAUUAAUUUAUACAAAAAAAUCUUAAGUGCUCAAAUUUUUGCAGAAAAAAUACAGUGUUUGUAUUUUUAGGCAGGAUAGUUCUACAAAAAGACAAAUCACAAAUGUUAUUACAUCUGACCAAAACUGUCAAUGUUCUUUUAUUUUUCAAAACUCGAAAUCUCACUUUUUGUUUUAGUGAUCUGAAACCCCUAAAGAUUAAUAACCUCAAUUUAAAUGUGGUGUUUGUUUGAAUUUUACUAAAUCUCCCUAAAUUCUGUGAUAUACUGUGAUAGAUGUGGUUGGUGGUGUGAGGUAAGAAAAAUAAUCGAAAUGUAUUUAAUACAGUAAUAAAUCAAUUAGAAAUUAAUACAAA